GAAAUGAUUUUCUGAAAUUUUUCAAAUUUUUUGGUUUUUCUAUGCCUUAGAUAAAUGCAGACUCAAGAAUAUAUACAAUGCAACACACACUUCCUGAGCCCUCCCCCAAACUUAAAUCACACAGUCCACUGUGCGAAUAAACUUGGAAGAGUGUACUCAGGACAAAUCCAUUCACAGGAACAAAAUGAAGAAACAAAUCACAACAGAUGAUAUAAUACAAUGGUGAAGUGAGGCGCUUACCUCAGUCGAAGAAUGAACGUAGUUGUUCGUUAAUGGCUGCCUGAGAUUGCUCUCAGGCCAUAGACGAACCGCCUUGUUUUGUAUCAGCUCCAGCAGGUGGGUAUUCGACCUCAUCAGUUGUGUGGCGGCCAGCACCGCUCUAAGGGUACUCGACCUCUCUCCUUCUGUUGCGGCCAGCACCGCGGUCGAGUGAUCUCCUCGAGUGAAUGAGACAUGAUCUGCUGCUGGAUCGAGUGAGUGUCGCCUUCCUUCUUCUCUUGUGGUCCCGGGACUCGAAUGACGAAUGCCUGGCCGGGACAUGUGAGACUCUCUGCUCGCUAAGCUCAGGCUUGUGCUCAGGCUCAUCAAAUCUCCUCGAUGGCAUCUCCAGAGGAGGCUGUCCCUGUGGAAUAGCAGUGGUGGAGGAGGAACAACUCAGCUUAUCUGUUAGAAACUUGAUAGUCUUGAAACACUUGGCGAGCAGCUUGUCCUGCUUCUUGCACCACUUCUGCAGUUUACUGUUGUUCUUAUGAGCUUCACUCAAGCUCUUGCUCUCCCUCGCUGGAGGUACAUUCACCAAAGUGAUACAUGCUAGUGUCGAACUCCACUGCUCUGUCUUCAACCAUCCCAUCCGAAGCAGUUUCUUCUAGAAGAUCAUCCUCAUCCAAUGGUUGAGCGUUCUCAUAGUAGAGGCGUCCAACCUCAGGACGAAAAUCAAUGUUAUCUCCUUCUAUUAUCCAUGUAACCUCAGGGCUAGGGAGAAGGAUGCUAGCUCUCCUAUCCGUAGAGUGCUCAAACCUGAACCGGUGCAAGUCGUCAACCAUUGCAAACUCCAGGAAUUCGCAGUGACGUAGGUGCUCGAUAUCCAUUGCUCGCGGCUCGAGUCCAUUAGAAGUGAUAGGGACUCCACAAGCGAUCAGAAUCGGUGUCACAACACCACCUAUGCAUAGAGCGCCUCGUGCUCUCUUAUGGUUAUUGCUGACAGCCCAGCUCUUGUAUCCACACAGAUGGAUCAGAAGAAGUACAGAGAGAGGUGUGUCAUUGAUUUCACCUUGGAGAGACAUGCCAUUCUUAGUUUGGCAAAGAGUUCCCUUGAGAGCCAUUGCGAUCAUCUCCAUAUAAGAGUUAGUAACCGUCCCUAUGAUCUCUCGGGAGUAGAGUACAUUGGCUAUAGAACGCUGGAAGUACCUGAUGACAGGGGUGCGUAUCUGAUUGCUCUUUGACCUGGAAGAAUUCAGCGGUACAGAGCUGCCAAUGGUGAUCCACAAGUCUUUCAACUCUUCUCUGUCAUACUUGGGCUUAGUUCCCGUUUAACUAGGGAAACCAAACAAUCCUUCCAAGCGCUUGAUUGAUAACCUAUACUCAUGACCAUACACAGAGAAUUUCAAGAAUCCCAAUCCUUCACAAUCCAACUCAUCAGAGGUCAUACCUUGGUAGAGCUCCACUUGCAGCGUGGAAAGGAAUUGAAUUGUCUCAUCUUUGUAUGCUACAUACGGAUAAGCCAUCAGAGUGUCCAGAUGACAACUCUAGUACAGGUGCUGAACAUCCUCCAACAAUCCGAGCUGUGCAAGUGUGGUCGAGCAAGGAUACCUCGUACUACAGAACUCAUUCAGCUUGAAGAGCCUAAUAUAUUCCUCAGCAGGCAAUACAUCGGUUUUGUGCAGAAGCUUGGUGGCUCUGCGAGUAUGCUCAGGCAUGUACACGUCUUCCGGAUCCUCAUCUAUAAGCUCAUACCUCUCUGUUAUCGCUCUCUUCCCUCGGGCUAUCUCAGCCUUUCUCCUGAAACUAUCAUAUUCUCUCUGUUCUCUCUCUGGCCUUGAAGACGACGUCUUUGUUUCUUCCAUGUUGUAGUCAGGAUCAACAGAAGAACUGCCACUUUAAUUACUCAUGAUUCUCCUGUAGAAAUUUAGAACUCAAAGCUCAAAUGUCAAUAGGUUAGUCUCAAAGAUAACAGUGAAACCAAAAUUUGUAACCAAUAGGCGAUGAAAUACACCCUAUUGGUCGAGUACAAUACAGUACUCGAGUAACCUGAGCUGUUUUUGAGUUCCUCUUAGACGAAUUGGGUCGAGUAAGUGUUCUUGAAUUCGAGUGAGUCUGCUCCCGGAGGUCGAGUGAGUCGUGGAGGUUGAGUUCAGCCGGUGAAGCCUAGAGGUCGAGUAAUCACUCUUAUUGUGCUUCAGGGCUCUAUUGCUUUCAAGAACAAAAGGUCGAGUGAAUACUCGAGGUCGAGUAGCUUUGUCGUAAUCGAGUGGUCCCGGAGACUUUGACGGUGAACGAGGAGGAGUACUCGAUUACAGCGGCGCAGGGAUGGUCGAGUGACGUUGGAAAUGAACUGGUGACGGUGGCGCGGAGGUCGAGUGGUUCUCAGAGGUCGAGUGACAGAAGAAAUGGGUUGGUGACGGCGGCGCAGAGGUCGAGUGGUUCUUGGAGGUCGAGUGAAUUGAUCUAGAUCGAGUGACUCUUUGGACGGCGAUUCGUGGUGUAGAGAAAUUGGAGUGUCGGUGGUGAGAUGAAAAGAGGUAGGUCGUGUGGAUUUUGUGAAGUCUUGUGAAGUUUCAAAAUGAGUGGUGGAGGUUGAGUUUUAGAUUCUCUCUCCAGCUUAUCCUCAGCGCGUGGUCCACACUCUGUUGACUGAGAAAAUCUGCAGAAAAUCUACUGUAAACUGCAAGAAUUCUCCGUAGCUCCUGAUGGUCGAGUAUAGUGAUGUUUUUUAUUU
rnacentral:sRNA from 1 species